rnacentral:lncRNA from 1 species
GUGGUCUCUCCUCUUCCCAUACACACCUUACGGAUUCUUCACAGGGUGUGAUGAUGGGAAGCCUAGACACGCUUAUCAGAAGUUUGUCCUCUUAUCGGGAUACGUCAGAAAUUAGAGAGACCCUGGCAAUCACAGCUUCCACCUCCUCAUUUUACAAAUGAGCAACUAGGCUCAGAGUACAGAAGUGGCUUUCCCAGGGUCACACAGCCAGCUUGUGACGGAGUCAGGAUUCAAGUACCAUCUCCUGACUUCUCCAUUGCACCAGACGUCGAUAGAACACAGAGAACCUAAAAGAAGAAAGAAAAAAAAAGUAGAGCUUUUGGGAAUAUAUUGGGCUUCUGGUUUUCAAGGACAAUUUUAUGAUAAGUAGCAGUGAUGCCUCAAAAGCUCUGGUAGCUAGCUUGAAUGAACUUAUGUAAUAAACAUUUAUCACAGAACAUGUGUCAUCAAACACCUGCCAGUUCUGAGCGUUGGCACCAAAGCUGCUUUCAUUGUCAAAGAAAAGAGGGGGAAAGGAACUUGGCUGAACAAAGCUGGCAGACGUUUAUACUAGAAAAUUUAGAGGUAAUUUCUAGAGGAACAGAAACACAUUUUCAAAGUCUUAUAAAAUUUAUUUAAAUGUGAUUGGGUGAAUUUAGCAGUUAAAGAAGUGAAGAACACUGAGGUCCAAUUGGUGCCUGAGGCUUCUUCCAGGCCCCUGUCUUUUCUGUCUGCCUUGGGCACAGAUUUCUAGAUGCCUGGAGAUGGACAGGCCCAGAGGUUGCCCAGAGCGAUGUCUGAGGUUACUGAUCUCUAUCUAGGCUUCCACAGAAACACAUCCCAAAACGUUCUUGGUUCUUAUUGGAAUCUCAUCUCAUUUGCAGAACAUGGCCAGAGUCAAAGAGACAUGGACCAUGUGUCACUCAGACUGAGUCCAUCCAUACAAAGAGAAUUCUCUAGCCUGUAUUGGAAGUCAAUCUACAUCAGCAUGACAGGAUAUGUAGCCAAAUAUGUGGCCACUUCCCUUUUGGCUACCCACACAUUUUUGAACUGCAAGAUCUGUUCUUUAUCUACUCAUCUAAUGGUUAUUACUGGGAGAGCAUUGGACUAUAAAUUCUAUUGCACUUGCAGGUGUAAUGAGCUCUUUGAACCUCAGUUUCCUCACCCAUCAGAUACUAUUCAUUAUCUGCCUUGCGGACAACACCUAGUUGUUGGGAACAUUGCAUGAAUGGCAGGUGGAGGUGCUUUGUAAACGCUAAAGCCUGCCAUGAAUGUGAAGGAGUGUUGCUACUCUUCUGUGCCCAACAAUGUGCUAGCACCAAGGGAGUUCAAAAGAAAUGUGAGACAUGGUCCCUACCCUCCAGGAACUUACAACUCAUUGUUGGGAGACCAAGACACAUCCCCUAAAAACAGAUAUAUAACACCUCAAGUCUGUGAAGUACUUACUAUUUAAAUGAUGCCCAGAGCCUCUGAAUCCCCUAGAAGUACAGAGGAGGGGGAGAUCGUUAAUGGUGUGGAGAAGUUGGAGGAGGUGAGACGAUGCCAGG